UUGGCCUCAAAUCGAGUAGGACUACCCGCUGAACUUAAGCAUAUCAAUAAGCGGAGGAAAAGAAACUAACAAGGAUUCCCCUAGUAACGGCGAGUGAAGAGGGAAGAGCUCAAAUUUUGAAUCUGGCACCUUUGGUGUCUGAGUUGUAAUCUAGAGAAGUGCUUUCUGUGGCGGACCGUGCACAAGUCUCCUGGAAUGGAGCAUCAUAGAGGGUGAGAAUCCCGUAUAUGGCAUGGACUCCCGUUGCUCUGUGAAACACUCUCAACGAGUCGAGUUGUUUGGGAAUGCAGCUCCAAAUGGGUGGUAAAUGCCAUCUAAAGCUAAAUAUUGGCGAGAGACCGAUAGCGAACAAGUACCGUGAGGGAAAGAUGAAAAGCACUUUGGAAAGAGAGUGAAACAGUACGUGAAAUUGUUGAAAGGGAA
rnacentral:rRNA from 1 species